rnacentral:sRNA from 1 species
CUAUUAGAGUUCAUUCACACAUUGAAGAGUUACAUACAGGUCUCACUCCUUAUCUUUUUAACUUCCCCACCUGUGUUUUCAUGGACAGUUAAUUGUGUUCAUCAGCUCGGUGUGCCGGAAGAGCUACAGACUUCCCCAGUUCUUGUUCGACAUCAACCUGGGAGUAUUCCUUGACUAAGUCGUUCAGCUCUUGGCAGAACAAUCAGAUUCCCUAUUGUACCCCGAAGCUGGUCAAUCACAGCUGCACUCUUACACCACCCGCCUACAGCCUUUGUGUCUGUAACACAUCCACAAACGCUCUGGAAUAAACACAAAAUUUCUACGUUGCUCUGUUGAUCUCAGCAAUGCAGUGAAACAGGUCGGUCUCCUGCAUGGAGGAGGCAUCAUUUUCAAAAAUAUGCACAGGCAUCAGAAACAUAUGCAUCAUUCCCAAGACUUGGGAAGCUGACUUGAGAAUCCUCAAGGAUCUAGAAAACGAAGGAACAAUUGUGUCUCCUUAAAUGUAUUACCAUCUCAUUCUUUUCUUUCAGCUGCUCAACAGACAUUUACAAAGUCAGGUCACAGAAUGGCUGCCAUACAACCUCGAUUUUCUGCAAGGCUCGCCAAGCUAAUCGUGAUUAGCUGCUACAGACAGAAGAUAGGGCCGGUGAAGAAAGUCCAAACAAUGGAGUCUAAUGUGAGACCACAAAGGCUUUCAUGUUGAGAAUGUAACCUCUUGUGAGAUAGAUUCAGCAGCCUCAAGCUUAGAAAACUCCAGGAAAGUUCUUCAGUUUCUCUGAGGAAGAGAUUGGCUGAGUGAAACCAUGUCAAAUAGGUGGAGCGAGUGACAUCUAAGUAAACACAGAUCCCCAGAUGGCUACCCACCGGCCUCCUGUCCCUGAAGCUCUCCUCCGAGUAGACAUUGCUUCAGAACAACUCUGGAGCCAACACUGACGGAAAUACAUCUUUGCCUUUGAACAAUACGAGGCCUAAGUGUCAUGUGACUUAGCAUCCUGGCUGCAUGUGUCAUGCAUAAUUUCCUUCACUUUAAUAGUACUGUGUUUAUUUUUAAAAGAAAAAGAACUAGAAAAUAUUAUCCUUAUAAAAGAGACACAUGGUAUGUACUCACU